GCGGGGGUGGCGGAAUGGCAGACGCGUCGGUCUCAGAAGCCGAUGCUGCAAGGCAUGAGGGUUCAAGUCCCUCCUCCCGCACCA
rnacentral:tRNA from 1 species